ACAAAGUAGGAUUUCUCAGUUAGCUGGGUAACUUGAAUCCUUAAGGUCAGUUGUGUGUCUUGAUUGUCCUUAAGGAAUGUGCCUGACCUAAACGGGACUAACAUGACUUCUGGCUUAAGUUAACUCAGCUGAGAAAUCAUUAUUCAUGAAGCAACCCCUAGAUAUUCUGUCGGAUUUAAGGUACCCCAGUUUAAAUGGACUUAGUCCAGACCUAUAUCCGACAACAUAUCUUGCUAACCCAAAAAUCCAGCUUCAUAAUACGGUCUCCAAGUUACUAAUAAUUAUGUUUUUGUUUUAAACCAAUUCAAAUAAGGUGUGGCAUUGGAAUUAGUUGAAAGUGUCUGUAUUUUGGUUACAGAACCCUAACUUGUCACCUCUUAAGCCCACUUUUCGACCAAAAUGGGUCCUACAGCUCACACAGGGGAAACUCAAAUGGCCAAAAGAUCAAUCAGCCAACAGGAAGUGGAGGGGACCACAGACCUGUCACUCAAGUUAUCCAGACCAAUCCCAGUGGACGAUCUUACUCUAAGAGAGACCUCUGUCUUACCCUGAGGCACCUACCAACAAAGAUGACUGCUUUGAGUAUGAGUAAUACACUAAACAGUCGAAAGAGAGAAGGACGACCGCGGCUGUCGUCAAGCUGUACUGUACUUCACACUGGAGUAUAUGCUUCCCAUUGGGUCCUGCUGCUGUGACUGAUGGUGUGAUACGCAGAGCUGAAUGUUAGAUCCACGUCAACUUCUGCACACAUGCUGAGGUGGCAGCGGGAUGCAGUCGAGUUUUCUGAAAGAUUCAUAGCUCCGAGUCGCGGGGAAACGAGGAGCAACUCAGAGUGUCGUUCGAAGAGCCGGGCUGCGGGGUAUAAAGGGACCAAUCCUCAGUAUCCUGGCAUCGGUGAACAGUGCGGUCCAAUGUCGACUUCCACACAGGAGCUGGUGAGGAAUGUGAGAAGAAGCAGAAGUGCAGGUGCUUCAGAAGGUUCCCCUUGUUAAGCCCGAUAGAGAUGCUGCAGGCUGGCCUCUGCAAUAGCAGGUUCACAUUUGAAAUGUGUCAAAGAUGCUUUUAGAAUCCUGCUGCUCAUAGUGGAAGUCAGUGAUGUGUGACCCCCAAC